rnacentral:rRNA from 1 species
AGCGAACGCUGGCGGCAGGCUUAACACAUGCAAGUCGAGCGGGCACUUCGGUGUCAGCGGCAGACGGGUGAGUAACACGUGGGAACGUACCCUUCGGUUCGGAAUAACGCUGGGAAACUAGCGCUAAUACCGGAUACGCCCUUUUGGGGAAAGGUUUACUGCCGAAGGAUCGGCCCGCGUCUGAUUAGCUAGUUGGUGGGGUAAUGGCCUACCAAGGCGACGAUCAGUAGCUGGUCUGAGAGGAUGAUCAGCCACACUGGGACUGAGACACGGCCCAGACUCCUACGGGAGGCAGCAGUGGGGAAUAUUGGGCAAUGGGCGCAAGCCUGAUCCAGCCAUGCCGCGUGAGUGAUGAAGGCCUUAGGGUUGUAAAGCUCUUUUGUCCGGGACGAUAAUGACGGUACCGGAAGAAUAAGCCCCGGCUAACUUCGUG